UUGAGACUGUGAAAAUACAUAUGGUAUGUUGUAUCUGAACAGGUUAGCUUACGAGCUAAAGUUACUUAACAUAGGUGAAAGUUAAAACAAAGACGUUUAGCAAACUGUUAAAGCACACAAACUAUCCUUCUGGUUGUUAUCUUUGUAAUGUUUGUGUCUUUUAUCAAAAAGCACUCAGUUCUCUGACACGUAAACAAUCAGCCGGUCGGCCAUGUUGGAUAUACUGGUGAAUCAGUUUUGUACUGAGAAAAUAAAGAUUUUACUAUUAAUAUACCAGAAAUAGCGUUCAAUUGGUAUAAAAUUACAUUUUGUUGUACUAACACACUGUAUUUGGCAAGUAAUAUGACUUUUUAUUUGUUUCUUUUUUUAUCAAAUAUAUGUGUAGUCUCAAUGUGACAAUACGACACCAACAUACUGUUAGCGACUAAAAUGACUGCAGGUUACAUAUGAUAAAACUGUACCGCAAAUCAUUCAAGAAAUAAUUUCAUUUUGUUAAAACGUGCUUACAGCAGCUUUUGGUUUACCUCUGUAGUCUUUGGUUAUUAUUUUAUUUACAAAAUGAAAAAAUCUCAAGGCCAAAGCUAACAUUGGUCACAUUCUGUUCAUGAUAGCAAAAUGUUCGACACAACUGUAUAAAAACUGCUGAAUUCUCACUCUUUUGAAGAAGUCCCGUCUUAACUCUUUCGUUGAGGUCCUGCAGAAAGAAAGUCGCAUGUAGUUGAAGGUUUUUUUCGCUGAAAAUCAUGCUUUUCUGGAAAAUUCUGUGAGAGCUGUGAAAUAUCUGACCGAUCAAAGUUUUGAUUCGAAUCAAAUAUGAUUUUUUUCUAAAUGAUGCACAUUCUAGACAAACCAUGGCAUGUUGGAAUGUUCAGACUCGGUCAGGACACUUAAGCAUCAACAGUCAGAGCUCACUGGAAGAGGUCAAAUACAGGAGAGGUUAACACACAGAGUUAAAAAAAAUGAAGCCUUAUGUUAAUUAAAAAGUUUAAUUUACUCUCACAGAAGGCUCUAUUUUCGUGGCCACCGGCAGCACGGUGUAGGAUGGCGCACCUGCGAAGCAGUGCCCAUACCUUUCUAUUCAUGUGAAAAAAUUGGAAUUUACUCUUACUCUAACUUUUACUUUAACUACAUUUAAAAGCAUUUACUCUUGAAUACUUAAGUACAUUUAAAAGAAAGUAAUUUUUCACUCUUACUUGAGUAACGUAUUGACUGGGCUACUCUUACAUGUAGCGGAGUAAAUUUUGACACACAUAAUGGACACCCAACCUGACCAAAUUAACACAGCUGAAACCGCAUUGAAUAUCCAGUAAAUAAAUAGUCACACAUGAUGAAGUUGACAAGAUAUUUAAUUUGUGUGCCCCCUUUCUCUCGCUUUCUCGUCCUCUUCUUUCUCGCGCAGCUCAACCCGGACAUGUCUCUGUCCUCUCCCCGCCCUGCUGCUACGGCUGCAAGUCUGACCAGAUUAUUUAUUUUAUUUGAAUAAAUUUAUUUUAGUUUAAUAAAUGCAACUUGAUGUGGGUGUCUUUAUUUGUGGAAAAAGGUGUUUGUCUUACUCGUGGGUCCAACCUUACACACACCAAAUCCAUCUGUUCUUAUAUGAGACAGUGUGGAGGAUGCCCUCCGCAGAGCUUACAGCAACACUUGUUAAGGGGCUGCCUUCUGACCCCAUCGUGUGGUAUUGCUGUCUUCAGCCAUCCCUUGAUCUCUUCCACUACUUCAUGAAAAUUGUAAUAUGCCUUGCUGGUGGCGGAUUUAAAAGUGAGGAGAGGAGCUGAUGUGAUUGGUGGACACGGGACUCGGCUAUGUUAAACCUACUCCACACCUUAUGCCCUCCCUCUCUGCUACUGGGGGGAUACUUAUGCCGGGCUGUGCUGUUCACAAAAAUACCAGUGUGCUUGGGCACGCCUCAUUGGCACUGCGAACCUGACUUACGCUGUGCCUGCACCACACCGUCGGCAAGGCAUGAAAAUAGAGCCCAAGUAAGAUUGUCGAGCAAGUGUGGUGAAGUAUGAAGCUGGGGCUUGGAGCUCCAGCUGCCAAUCUGGUCGAUAUAAGUCUAAUUUUCACUCUGCUUUGGCCUUGUUGAAGUCUCAAACAGCUGCUAUGAGCUGCUAACUUUGUCUGUGACUUUUUUUUGACAACCUGGUUGAUGUAAGUCCAAUUUUCACUGAAAUUCAGCCUUGUUCUUGAAGAGCUAGCUACUAAGGAAAAUGUUUGCUGUCCAGCUGCAGCUGCUAACUGCUGCUCCUAUAAACAGAUUUCUUUACGCACAGCCUUGUUUGUUGACUUGUUUGAGCUCUGGUUAGCUCUACAUUCACAUAAAUUUGGCUCUGUUUUGGUCUUAAACAGAACAACUACAAAAAAAGAAAGCAUCUCCUCUCUGGCUGUUACUUGCUGCCAAUCACCGCUGCUAUACAUUGCUAACUAUAAGUAGCUUUGUUUGAUGUCAUUUGUGUGUAACUGCUGCUGUAGUCUGUAGUUGUCUAUAUCUUAGGUUGGCAUCUUUGUUGAUGUAAGUCCAAUAUUCACUUAAAUUUUUUUUUAUUUUUUGGUGCAGAACUACAACUGAGGGAAUAUCUUCUCCCUGGCUGUUGAUUGUUGCUAACUUCAUCAGUAGCGUGAUACAGCAGGUUCCAGAGCCUUAUCAGUAAAACAACAACAACAAUCUGAAAUUAAAGUGGUAAAUUGUCAUUUCAGUCUCCUCAAACUCUAACAAACUGUAAAGGCAGAUUUCUCUGCGUUUCUCCCCCUCUUUGCUCGCUGUCCAUAUCGUCUGUAGAAGGCUGUUUUGUCUCAUCAUAUUGAUUUGCCAGCCUCUCUACAAUCAGCCUGACCGAGUCACCUCACAGUUCCACUCUUCUCGCCCAGGUGCUUUCAUCCGUCCCUCAACUUUGUAAACAGCUGAAUUAUUUGGCAUUCAGCACUGGUCCCCGCCACCCAAGCGGCGAGCAUUUUUCCCCUCUUGUGUGUCCUAUCGCUUUAACCGGAUGGCAUGUUUCACUUCGCCUGACUUAAUGACACAGCCUGACAAGGAGGGCAAUUACUGUUUUCCCAUGCUGCACAAAAUGCAGGGCCCGUCUCAAAAGGCUUGUUGUGCAGACGCCAUCAGGUGUGAUUGCUCAGUCUCCAGCGAAGGCAUGAGAUGAGCUGAUGGUGAACGUGAUGCUGGUUGGAGCCUUCAUUUCAUCCCAGGUCUGACUUUUGGUUGAAACUUGAAUCAUAUCCUCUGAUGUGCUCUGUAAUAUGUGUGUUGGCAGCCUUAUUUUCAGUGCAUGGUUUAAUGUGGACAUAGCCUCUUAAAUUCAGGUAUAGCUUACACUGGGCUGCUGGCCCAUUGCACCAGCAUUGCUCUGCCCUCUCAGUAAAGGCUCAAAAGACAAAAUAAACACACUGGACUCAAGUUGCAUCUCAAUGAUCCAUUUUACUGCCAAACAAUCUUCACUUGAAGUGAGACAGCGUCCCUCACCCUCCCUCCUCUGCUUCCAUGUCUUUCUAAUUAUACACCUCCUGCUCUUUAGGGCCGAAUCAGUCUGAAACUCUCUCUGCAGGUGGCUGUUCGUACUUCCUUUUAAUCAACACGCUGAGUAAGCAAGAGAGCGACUGGGAGCUCUUGAGCAAGUUAUUCAUUUCUCUGGCGAUGAAUAAGUUCUUCCUCAUGUGCCAUGUUUAUUUACCAGAGUCUGUAAAACACCUGCUCACGCUCACCAUGUUCAAAACAAAAGGAUCAGACGCUCGGCUCUGGUUGUGCUUUGAGUUUGUUGCUGGUGAGUCUCACUGGAGCUGUUACACUCUUUGGUUGUUGGUUAUUGCUUGUGUGCAUAAAAACUCACCCCAGGCAUCAAUAUAUAUCCCCCAUGCAAUCUCCCAGUUGCAGCACAGAACUCCCUCUUUCAUCCUCUUCUCCCUAAAUUGAGCAUUUUCUGCACUGCAUGUUAGCACUUCCAUGCACGGCUCCAGGCGGAGAGCUGCCUCUCUGCUGCUCUGCACUAUCUGCUGAGAACCGAGAGGGAUCCAGGCUGACUUAGAUUUGCCCCCAGUGGUCUGAGGAGAGCUUGGUCGCCACUUGACAACCCUGCAAGGCCCUGCUGCGUAUGUGAGUGUGUGUGUGUAUGUGUGUGUGCCUGUUGCUCCAGUUUAUCACACUCCAGCAGGUCUGCACCAGGAGAGGAAUUCAUAUACAGCACAAGCUCCUCAUUUGACUCUUGAUAUUUGACCUCGGGUUAUAAAAUACAGAUGCAGCCCCACUGAACCAUUUGGCAAGAUUAAUAACUUCAAACAGUCUUGCUGUUCACUUAUUACAAAAUCAGGUCAGUGUAUCUGUUAUGUGCUCAGUGCUGCUCUGUUUUGCAUCAACAUAGCAAAACACAGAGCAGAAGAAAGUAACAAGUCAUCUAUCUCUGAGGCCAGCAUGUGAGCAUUUAAAGUAGAUUUCAAAUCAUGCAUGUACUGACACAAUUCUUGUACUUGUGCAUGUACAGAUGAUGCAGAUACACAGCAGUGGAGUGAAGCUAUGAUUGGUGAGAUUCCCUGAGAAAGUCUGGUCCAGGAACCAUCAUUACAAACCCCCCAUAUUGCAUAAUAUACUUCCCCCUUAUUACAUCCAGGAAAAAUGCUUGAAAUUUUUUUUUUUUUUUUUUUUCUCAGUGUGUUUUCUCCCUCAGCUCUUCCCCUAAUUCAAAGAGAAUUGCCUAAUGAUGAUGGUCUCCUCUAAACAGCAUCUAUGUUUAGCACCCUUAACACUUGAAUUGUGCCUCGCAGCCUCGCAGCCUCGCAGCCUCGCAGCCUCACAGCCUCACAGCCUCACAGCCUUUUCCACAGUUCUCGGAGAAGCAGCAUUAUCACAGCUCACUCAUACAGUAGGAGGCUGAAAGUUCAACAAGCGAAGCGGGAAAUUUCUGUGCUUGUUAAUUUUAGCUCCAAUGAGCAGCAAGUGAAAAAAAUCACUGGAUUAAGGAAAAAUAGUUCCUAGUAAAGUUAAUUGACACAACUUGAGGACUCAGUUUUUUGGGGGGCUACAUAUCUUUCAAACACCAGGUUCUUGGUGGGCAGCAGUGUAUUUACAUGUUCGUUAAUCAGGAUUGAGAAAGCUUUCUCUGUGAUUGUCGCACCCUGUAAAGCCGGAUUUUGCAGCAGCGUUAUAAAAAGACUGCAAUGCACUUCAUUGUUGCGGCCUGGGUAUCACAUUAUUCAAACUGUAGGCAACUGGCACAAACACUCGUACAAUCUACUGGCUGGGCAGCUGUUUGAGGACUUAGUCAAAUAUGUGAAAACAAAGUGGAGAGUGGUUAAAAUUGCACGACUGCAAAAAAAGAUGCACCGGUUGGUUAAAUGUUAUCUGAAGUAUCUGAAUGCACUGAUGGUUGUCCAGCGAAGACAAAGUCCUCAUCUUGAUCCAUUCUGCCACGAAACCUCAACCUGAGCUUGAAUGUCCUCUGCAUAUUCACCAGAAACUACAUCUUGUCCCCCUGUGCUGUUUCAUACAUGGUAAUACAGCCUCAGUUGAACACAGACAAUGACAAUAGUUGAGGGCAGAAAGACUCUGCCCUUGACAUACAGAGCAGGUGAUUUUAGGAGAAAUGUCAAAGGAAAAAGCACCGGGAAAAGCUUCUCCUCCUCUGUCAUUAUUGGCAUUUGUAAAGAAAUUACUAUCUUACAAGGUGUAGAGGGGUGCAGGAAAUACCAUCUUGGACCCUUUUUUCAGAUUUCGUCAGCUUUUGUCAAUAAGCUUGUGUCAAAAGUAAGAAAGCCUGAACAAAAAGAAAGUCGAUCUUUAAACACUGAUCCCUGUUCAUAUACAGACAUGAUUAGAUCUAUGGGAAUAAUCAGCACCAAUCAGACCAAUCAGCUUUCUGUGCUAUAUUUACCCUAGGAUGUGACAAAAGACGAGAUAGGAUGAUUGACAGUAAAAUCAUAAUCUUGACAUGAACAACUGGGCAGGAGAAAAGAUAGCUAAAAAAGAUUCAAGAGAUUUAUAUUCAAACUCUGUGGGCCCAUUUAAACUAUUUAAAAUGCAUGUGCUGUGCAAUCACUUUUUGAAGGCUAAAGACCCACUCUGAUGAAAAUCAUGUUUUUCUUGUUGUCUACAUGUUCAUAUGUCUUUGGCCUGUGCAGGAUUCAAGUCAAGCUGGUGUGUGAUGAGAGAAUCCAUAUUUAUGUAGUUAACAUGGAGGUUGCAGGACUCAGUUAUUUAAAUGUUUUGGCUUCACUUUUUAGGAGCUGUCAUGUCUUUCUGUACUGUCUAUGAUGAAUUCCAGCACUGACUACAGGAUCCUUGUGCUGUAAUUGACAUGUCUAGCAUUUGAUUGGCUAACUAAACAUGUAGGUAUCUUCACCUUCCUCAGGUCAGCAUACUGUGGUAGUAACCUAAUCUCCCAUCCGUUUUCAAGACUCAAAGAUUUUAAAGGAAUGUGUGGCCAAACUGACCUUUAGCAAAGGCAUUUUAUAGAUAUUUACAGACUGAUGUUUACAAUGGAAAGGCCUUUUUAAGGUUAGAUGGGCAUUAUGUUACAUUCUUGACUAUGUCUUGGCAUCUGGUCAGCUUAGCUUUGAUUCUUGUGUCGCUCUUUGAGUCAUAUUUUUGAUAUUCAAGGUGAGAGACACUUCUGGAGACAAUAACAUGCUUUAAGGACAAGUCAGUCUAGUUUAAUCUUCUAUUUUUGUCGCUUCAAGGUCCCUGCAUAUUUGGAGAUUCAUAUCACUUGUAAGAGCUGCUGUAUAGAUCUGUACUGACACCCCUGAUGCCAGUUUCUUUUCUGUUUUCAUGUACGACAACACCAUUAAAAUGAAUUCCAUUAUGAUUUUGCUUUUUCAAAGGGAGCUCACGUCCAACAAUAUCUUCCCAAUCUUCCCAGCUCUAAGCAACAACCUUCACACUGACUUUGGCGUCAGGUUGGAAAAGUGAGAUCGCUCCUCCGCUGAUAAGAUUCAAUCAGAUAAGGGUGAAAUCUAGUGGGCCAUCUCAGUCUCUCUGCACUAUGUCCCCAAAGGAAU